rnacentral:rRNA from 2 species
GUGGUAAUGCCGGAUGCUCCGACUCCUCGCAUGGGGUGUCGGGAAAGAUUUCAUCGGUAUGGGAUGGGGUCGCGUCCUAUCAGGUAGUCGGCGGGGUAACGGCCCACCGAGCCUACGACGGGUAGCCGGCCUGAGAGGGCGACCGGCCACAUUGGGACUGAGAUACGGCCCAGACUCCUACGGGAGGCAGCAGUGGGGAAUAUUGCACAAUGGGCGCAAGCCUGAUGCAGCGACGCCGCGUGCGGGAUGACGGCCUUCGGGUUGUAAACCGCUUUUGAUCGGGAGCAAGCCUUCGGGUGAGUGUACCUUUCGAAUAAGCACCGGCUAACUACGUGCCAGCAGCCGCGGUAAUACGUAGGGUGCAAGCGUUAUCCGGAAUUAUUGGGCGUAAAGGGCUCGUAGGCGGUUCGUCGCGUCCGGUGUGAAAGUCCAUCGCUUAACGGUGGAUCUGCGCCGGGUACGGGCGGGCUGGAGUGCGGUAGGGGAGACUGGAAUUCCCGGUGUAACGGUGGAAUGUGUAGAUAUCGGGAAAGAACACCA